UAGCAUAUCAUAAGCGGAGGAAAAGAAACCCAACAGGGAUUGCCCUAGUAACGGCGAGUGAAGCGGCAACAGCUCAAAUUUGAAAUCUGGCUCUUUCAGGGUCCGAGUUGUAAUUUGCAGAGGGUGCUUUGGUGUUGGCGGCGGUCUAAGUUCCUUGGAACAGGACAUCGCAGAGGGUGAGAAUCCCGUAUGUGGUCGCCUGCCUUCGCCGUGUAAAGCCCCUUCGACGAGUCGAGUUGUUUGGGAAUGCAGCUCUAAAUGGGAGGUAAAUUUCUUCUAAAGCUAAAUACCGGCCAGAGACCGAUAGCGCACAAGUAGAGUGAUCGAAAGAUGAAAAGCACUUUGGAAAGAGAGUCAAACAGCACGUGAAAUUGUUAAAAGGGAAGCGCUUGCAGCCAGACUUGCCUGUAGUUGUUCGCCUGGGCUUUUGCCCGGGUUACUCUUCUGCAGGCAGGCCAGCAUCAGUUUGGGCGGUCGGAUAAAGGUCCCUGACACGUAUCUCCCUUCGGGGUUAACAUAUAGGGGGGACGUAAUGCGACCAGCCUGGACUGAGGUCCGCGCAUCUGCUAGGAUGCUGGCGUAAUGGCUGUAAGCGGCCCGUCUUGAAACACGGACCAAGGAGUCUAACAUCUAUGCGAGUGUUUGGGUGUCAAGCCCGAGCGCGUAAUGAAAGUGAACGGAGGUGGGAACCCCUCGGGGCGCACCAUCGACCGAUCCUGAUGUCUUCGGAUGGAUUUGAGUAAGAGCAUAGCUGUUGGGACCCGAAAGAUGGUGAACUAUGCUUGAAUAGGGUGAAGCCAGAGGAAACUCUGGUGGAGGCUCGCAGCGGUUCUGACGUGCAAAUCGAUCGUCAAAUUUGGGCAUAGGGGCGAAAGACUAAUCGACUAUCUAGUAGCUGGCUCUGCGA
rnacentral:rRNA from 1 species